rnacentral:rRNA from 1 species
GUACCAGACUCCUACGGGAGGCAGCAGUGGGGGAUAUUGGACAAUGGGGGAAACCCUGAUCCAGCGAUGCCGCGUGAGGGAAGAAGGUUUUCGGAUUGUAAACCUCUGUGGACAGGGACGAUAAUGACGGUACCUGUCAAGAAAGCCACGGCUAACUACGUGCCAGCAGCCGCGGUAAUACGGAGGAUGCGAGCGUUAUCCGGAUUUAUUGGGUUUAAAGGGUGCGCAGGCGGGAGAUCAAGUCAGCGGUAAAAUGUCGGGGCUCAACCCCGGCCGGCCGUUGAAACUGGUUUUCUAGAGUUGGAGAGAAGUAUGCGGAAUUCGUGGUGUAGCGGUGAAAUGCAUAGAUAUCACGAAGAACUCCGAUUGCGAAGGCAGCAUACCGGCUCCAUACUGACGCUGAGGCACGAAAGCGUGGGGAUCGAACAGGAUUAGAUACCCCCGUA